GCCAGCAGCAAUAACACAUUGAUUUUACAAGUUCCAAACAGAUCAUUGAAGUUAAGCAACGUUGUGCGUGUUAGGUAUCUAGACGGGUGACCGCGUGUGGUUAAACACUUUUUACAUUUC
rfam:Asian citrus Psyllid, Diaphorina citri - Florida Strain, whole genome shotgun sequence.